rnacentral:rRNA from 1 species
UACAGAGGUCCCAAGCGUUGUUCGGAUUCACUGGGCGUAAAGGGUGCGUAGGCGGUUGGGUAAGUCUGACGUGAAAUCUCCGGGCCUAACCCGGAAACUGCGUUGGAUACUAUCCGGCUAGAGGAAUGGAGGGGAGACUGGAAUACUUGGUGUAGCAGUGAAAUGCGUAGGUAUCAAGUGGAACACCAGUGGCGAAGGCGAGUCUCUGGACAUUUCCUGACGCUGAGGCACGAAAGCCAGGGGAGCAAACGGG